CUCUUAUUUUGCACCUGUUAAUUAGGUAUAACUCCAUUUCUUCAUCCUCACCUCUGGACCUGAAAAGGUGCCUGAGAAAACAGCUUCAUUAAUAACCCUGAAGCAGUCACUCAGUGCUGAAGUGUCGAGCAUUAGAAGGAGUCCAUGAAGAAAUGGAAAAGCAGGAUGUUGGAGCAUGCUGACUGCAGGAUGAAAUGAAGAUCACGCUGAGCCCAGGCCCCGAGUCCCUGCAGCCACUCUGUCCUGGGAGAACGAGACUUCCUUCAGCAUUGCCUGCUGUAAUUUACAAGGGGCAAGUACAAGAUGUUCAUAAGUGGCAGGAAUUCAUUGACAUCGUGGCCAGUUCAAGAGAAAAGAGUGUGUUUGGACAAUGCAAGGAAAGGGAUGCUCUCUUAUUCCUGCUCAGAAAGACCAAGUGUCGGACCCUCUCCCAUGCUGUUGCUCUCUCCUGAGAUAUCUUCAUCAGCUGUUCAUAAAAGCCCAGCUCUGGGCAACUCAAGGUGCACUCAAAACCUUCCUCCGCCUCAAAGCACAGCCUUUGCCAUAGCCACAUUCUGGACAGUUUUGCACUGACUGUCCAGCUCCUGCCAUGACACUCAGCUUCCCUCUCUACCUUCUGCCAACAGCCCCACCACCUUCCCAACCUUCCCAACUGCCUCCCAGAUGCUGGCCCUGCUAGGUACAAAAGGAAUGACUUCAGCUAAUCUGUCAAAUAAUGGAGCAAGGAUAUUUUUCUCUGAGGAAGGUGCUCCCUCCUUCCAGCAGCCUGCAGAGCAGGAGAGGCCAGGCAGUCUCUGAGAGCUGCUCACCAGCAGAGGAGUGUGGUUUCCUUGGGAGAGUGGGAAUCCAGCAGUGUGCUUCCUGGAAAGGAAGAGCCACGCAAGGUUACAGACUUCA